GACUGUGGCCGCCGGAAGCCACGCCCCCGGCGCCCUCAGCGCCUGCCAUGGCGGAGUUGGGCAACUUCCGGGUUCGUCAACACGUCCCUUCCAGUGAUCGCGGCGGUGGCUAGAACAGGAUGUGACUCAUCGCACAUUUCUGGGGAUACCUAAUGCAGUCAUUUCGGUGGUCCUGUGAGGUAGAAAACAUUGUCCAGCUUUCCACGCGAGGAAACGUGGCUUGGCGACACGACUGGACUCCCCAGUCCCGCUUUUGCCGAAGACUUCGAAGGACGCAUUUGGAGCGCGAGGCUCCAGCUUGGCGAUGAGGCGGCGGGCUGACGACCUUCCUUCUCCGAAAUUCACUGAUUCGGCGUCAAGAAUGGCACAGCCUCGUAGAGCUACCGCAUUUCCCAAACUCUUAGUCUCAAGACCAAUUUAUACUCGUAAAAAUGAUUGAGGGCCCCAAGCUUUUACUAAUGUGGAUUAUAGCUGUCGAUGUUACCAUACUAUAAGUUAAAAUGCUUUAAA